rnacentral:rRNA from 1 species
ACCGGCGGCUCGAGUGGUAACCGUUAUUAUUGGGUCUAAAGGGUCUGUAGCCGGCCGGAUAAGUCUCUUGGGAAAUCCAGCAGCUUAACCGUUGGGCUUUCAGGAGAUACUGUCUGGCUCGAGGCCGGGAGAGGAGAGAGGUACUUCAGGGGUAGGGGUGAAAUCUUGUAAUCUUUGAAGGAACACCAGAGGCGAAGGCAUCUCACCAGAACGGACCUGACGGUAAGGGACGAAAGCUAGUGGCACGAACCG